rnacentral:rRNA from 1 species
AUGGCCGCGCUCCGACACGCGGCGAGGGGGCUCAUCGGCGGCCAAGCGCAGGCGGUCCGCAAGGCCGUCGCCUCGCCGCUGCUCGCCCACCGCGGCCGAACAGCCUCGUUUCCUCUGCUGCGAUCUCUGUCCUCCUCCUCCUCCUCCAAUGGCGCCGCCGCCGCCGCCCAAACCCGCAGCCGCAACUCAUCGUCCGCCGACAGCGAGCCUGUGUACGUCCGAGUUGAGCCACAGCCCGACCCCGAGACAGCCCGGCUGAUGGCGGAGAUGGACACCAGGAAGCAGCAGCUCUUCGACCUGCUCGCCGACAUGGACAUGAGGCGCCCACGUCCUACGUACACGUGCACGGCGGAUGUAUAUGAGGUUAAUCCCACCGCCUCUUCGGACACCCCGGUGCUAAUCCCGAUCACCCCCUCUGAUGCCAAUGUCGAGUAA